CCUACGGGUGGCAGCAGUGAGGAAUAUUGGUCAAUGGUCGCAAGCCUGAACCAGCCAAGUAGCGUGAAGGAUGACGGCCCUACGGGUUGUAAACUUCUUUUAUACGGGGAUAAAGUGCGUCACGUGUGCCGUUUUGUAUGUACUGUAUGAAUAAGGAUCGGCUAACUCCGUGCCAGCAGCCGCGGUAAUACGGAGGGUCCGGGCGUUAUCCGGAUUUAUUGGGUUUAAGGGGAGCGUAGAUGGGUUGUUAAGCUAGCUGUGAAAGGUUGGGGCUCAACCGUCAAAUUGCAGUUGAUACUGGCAGUCUUGAGUACAGUGGAGGUAGGCGGAAUUCGUGGUGUAGCGGUGAAAUGCUUAGAUAUCACGAAGAACUCCGAUUGCGAAGGCAGCAUACUAAACCGCUACUGACGCUGAUGCUCGAAAGUGCGGGUAUCAAACAGGAUUAGAUACCCGAGUAGUC
rnacentral:rRNA from 1 species